UGAACGCUGGCGGCGCGCCUAACACAUGCAAGUCUAUCCUGAUGUUUACAUCGGGAGGCAAACGGGUGAGUAGUACUUUGGUAACCUACUCUCGACUCAAGCAUAACCCAGAGAAAUUUGGGAUAAUACUUGAUAGUCAUGGGGGGUCUUAUGACAUUCCCAUGUAAAGAUUUUUCGGUCGAGAAGGGGCCUAAGGCCUAUCAGCUAGUUGGCGGGGUAAAAGCCCACCAAGGCUAUGACGGGUAGCUGGUCUGAGAGGACGAUCAGCCACAUCGGCACUGAGACACGGGCCGGACUCCUACGGGAGGCAGCAGUGAGGAAUUUUGCACAAUGGGGGAAACCCUGAUGCAGCGACGCCGCGUGACCGAAGAAGCUUUUCGGAGUGUAAAGGUCUUUUCUAGAGGAUGAAUUAUGACAGUACUCUAGGAAUAAGCCACGGCUAACUCU
rnacentral:rRNA from 1 species